AUUGAACGCUGGCGGCAGGCCUAACACAUGCAAGUCGAGCGAGCGGCGGACGGGUGAGUAAUGUCUGGGAAACUGCCUGAUGGAGGGGGAUAACUACUGGAAACGGUAGCUAAUACCGCAUACCAUAAGAUGUGCCCAGAUGGGAUUAGCUAGUAGGUGGGGUAACGGCUCACCUAGGCGACGCUCCAUAGCUGGUCUGAGAGGAUGACCAGUCAUACUGGAACGGGGAAACGGUCCAGACUCCUACGGGAGGCAGCAGUGGGGAAUAUUGCACAAUGGGCGCAAGCUGGAUGCAGCCAUGCCGCGUGUGGGAAGAAUGCCUUCGGGUUGUAAAGCACUUUCAGCGGGGAGGCGUUACCCGCAGAAGAAGCACCGGCUAACUCCGUGCCAGCAGCCGCGGUAAUUC
rnacentral:rRNA from 1 species